UAAGAACCUCUGGGAACUCCUUCAAGACUGUUGGAAAACCAUUUCAGAGAAAAUGAUAUGUGUUUUGCAGGAAUGCAACUGGCUGCAAACGUUACAACUAGAGACAGCUCCAAUAUCCAUGGUAGCUCUAGAGGAGCUGCAGAGAUCCACAGCUCAGGUGGGAUAAUCUCCACAAAUCUGGCCUUUAUGGAGAAGAGGCAAGAAAGCCAUUACUGGAAGAAAGCCAUAAGAAAUCCCAUCUGCAGACAGUGAACAUGUGGAAGAAGGUGCUCUAGACAAGUUUUGCCAAGGAAAAGUAGCAAAACUUUGAGUAGAUGUGCAAAGCAUACCCCAAAAGUCUGUUAUUGCAGCAAAUGGCAGUUCUACACAGUAUUGAUUCAGGAAAGCUGAGCACACAACAGUUUUAUCAUUUCUAUUUGUAAUAAAUGUUUAAAGCAAUAUA